rnacentral:tRNA from 3 species
AGUCAAUUAACUAUAAGGAUAGUUUAUGUUUUGAAAGCAUACUUAAGAGGUUCGAUUCCUCUAUUGGCUU